rnacentral:rRNA from 1 species
UACGGAGGAUCCAAGCGUUAUCCGGAUUUAUUGGGUUUAAAGGGUGCGUAGGCGGCUUUUUAAGUCAGGGGUGAAAACUUGCGGCUCAACCGUAAAGCUUGCCUUUGAUACUGAGGAGCUUGAAUACACUUGAGGUAGGCGGAAUGUGACAAGUAGCGGUGAAAUGCAUAGAUAUCAAGGAGGAACACCUGUGGCGAAAGGCGG